rnacentral:lncRNA from 1 species
GGGGCAUUUCUCUCCACUUGGGCAAUAGACCUCGCCAGUUGCCCCUUGGGCCUUGAUGCUCUCUCUGGAACAAGGGAAGCAGAACUUGUGGCUGGGUACAGAUGGGCACUGAACAAAGUGGGUGUCCUCCAAGCGUUCGUGGCAAAUGGUGCAGCACAGGGGCCCGCUAUUGGCCAUGGGGGAAUCUGGAAUGUUUUGGGGGUGCACUUGGUCCAUACCAGGGUGGGCAUUGGGGGGAGGCGGGGCCACCUGCAGGUUCAUGUCCCCGUUGCGGGAAGCCAAGCGACGCUGGCCCGGCACCGAGGCCGGGGACACCGGGCUGCUGCUAUUCCUGCGGGUGGAAGUGGUGGAGUGAACCGAGCUGCCAUCCUUGGGCGAGUGGGCAUUGCCCAGUGUGUCGGCCACCGACAUGAGCGCGGCCAUGGGGGACUGUCCGUUUUGAGGGGCCGACUCGGGCGGGGUGGUCCGGUUGGAGUGAGGCCCCAGAGGCGGCGGGGGUGGGGGUGGGGGCCCCCCUCCGUGCACCGCCCCGAAGCCCCCAGCCGACAUGGUGAGUUUAAGUGCUUCGCUCUGGCUGGCCAUCCACUGCUGCCGCUGCUGCUCGUCACUCAGCUUCAGGGCCCCCUCCGCCGAGUCAGAGGGCUCCGGGGACGCCUUCCUUUUGCGCAUUCCCCCGCCGCCACCGCCUCCCCCGGGGCCCCUGGAAGCGGCCCCGGCCCCCUGCGCCCCGCCGACUCCGGCUCCUCCCCGGGGCAGGCUCACCAGGGCAGUGGGGAGCAUGGGGCAGCUAGCGUCCAGGUAAGGCUGGGGCAGCAUGUCCGCGCCCACCAGCUCCUUGAAGAAACGCACAGACUCAGGCAGCAGGUCGCCCAGGAGCCGCCAGUCGCCGGAGCCGUGUUUCUUCUCGUACUCCAGGUACUUGAAGCCGGAGGAGAGGCCGCGGCCAAAGUCCUUCAUGCAGUCCUGGUACAUCUGCUUGGCCACCCCCGAGGCGCUGGAGAAGACAGUGCCUGA